rnacentral:rRNA from 1 species
CCUACGGGUGGCAGCAGUAGGGAAUUUUGCGCAAUGGGCGCAAGCCUGACGCAGCAACGCCGCGUGAUGGAGACGCCCUUCGGGGUGUAAAGAUCUUUCAGUGGGGACGAAACUUGACGGUGCCCCCCGAGGAAUCACCAGCUAACUACGUCCCAGCAGCAGCGGUAAUACGGGGGGUGAAAGCGUUGUCCGGAAUAAUUGGGCGUAAAGAGUUCGUAGGCGGCAGGUAAAGGCUGGUGUUAAAGGUAGAGGCUCAACUACGGUACGGCACUGGUGACUUGCGUGCUAGAGUGCUGUAGAGGCAAAGGGAAUGCCGGGUGUAGCGGUGAAAUGCUUAGAUAUCAGGAGGAACAUCAGUGGCGAAGGCGCUUUACUGGGCCGUAAUUGACGCUGAGGCACGAAAGCCAGGGUAGCAAAUGGGAUUAGAUACCCCGGUAGUC